AAUAAAACAAAGAAGUAAAGCCUGGUGAGAUAAUCGAAGGAAUCCCCUUUCUCACGAUCGUCGUUCCUCCGCAUGAGAAAACAAAGAAGUUGAAGCAGCUCCUGCUCUAGCUCCUCGAUCUGGAAAGAAAGGUAAGAGAAAGGCUAAAGAAACUCAUGAGAAACAAGUGGCUGCCAAAAGGCAGAAGAAAAGCGACGAUGUUGCACAGGCUAUUGUAAAGAAGAAGGUUGAAGCUAAGACGAAGAGGAAAUAUGAAACUAGUAGUUCAUCUAAUGACUUUUCUGAUUCCGAUUACAUAUGCGAAAGCCCACUACUGGUUGAUGACUCUUCUAACUCCGAUUAUGUAUUCACAAACCCACUACUGGUUUACUUAUGAUGCUACAUUUGUUGCUCUCGACAUCCAUGUAUGCUGAUAGUUCACUUUUCAUUACAUGUUCUGCUUUGAAUGGGUUCCUUAUAUCAUUUAAGCUCUUAGUACUCUUUAAGUAUCGAGGCAAUACAUUCGUGUGAUUGUAAAAAUGGAGUAGAUGAACGCAUGUUUGUAUAUGUUUUGCUUCUUUAUGGUUAUUUGUUUUUC